GUCCUUAUCGAUUAGUGGUUAGAUCAUCACAUUGUGGCCAGCUCAUGAUCUGUGAAGACCGAGGCUCGAAUCCUCGUUGGGACA